CGAGCGAUGGAGCUAUGGGAUGUGUGGUGGAGCUGUGUUUUCUUAUGGGGCUAGCGCCGCUACUGUUGGAACACGCCAGCCGCAGGAGUAGCGGGGGUGGAGACUGAAGGCGGAGGAAGCUGCGAGGAUUGUCGCCGGUGGAUUCAUGAGGAUGAUCUGCGGAGGAAGGGAGCGAAUUCGGCAGCUGUCUUACGGAUCGAUCUCGGCAACCCUCCUCCACCCCAAGCUCCACCAGUUCCUCAUCAGGACAAGGCCUCUCAUCCCCUGCUCUUCUGCUCCUUCACCACCGCCACCAGGUCUAGACCCGGGGGAUUCCUGCCUAAGCGGCCUCAUCUCCUGUCCUUUCCCCCUUCGGUUGUCGGUCAUCGCAUCGGGGACUAGAACGCC
ensembl:lncRNA